rnacentral:rRNA from 1 species
UAAGCUGCAGAAGAAGCACCGGCUAACUCGUGCCAGAAGCGGGUUAUACGGAGCGUUCGAACGUUAUAAGAAUAUCUGGGCGUAAAGGGCAUCAGCUGUUUUUUAAUUAAAUUUAAAUCCCGGGGCUAACCCUCGGAUUUCCUUUUAAAUUGGUAGGUUAAGUCCUUAUGGGGGGGGUAAAUUCUCCCGUUUAGGGCUUAUUUAUUAAUUUAAGUUUUUACAUGGCUCAGAUUGAACGCUGGCGGCAGGCCUAACACAUGCAAGUCGAGCGGAAACGAGUUAUCUGAACCUUCGGGGAACGAUAACGGCGUCGAGCGGCGGACGGGUGAGUAAUGCCUGGGAAAUUGCCCUGAUGUGGGGGAUAACCAUUGGAAACGAUGGCUAAUACCGCAUAAUAGCUUCGGCUCAAAGAGGGGGACCUUCGGGCCUCUCGCGUCAGGAUAUGCCCAGGUGGGAUUAGCUAGUUGGUGAGGUAAUGGCUCACCAAGGCGACGAUCCCUAGCUGGUCUGAGAGGAUGAUCAGCCACACUGGAACUGAGACACGGUCCAGACUCCUACGGGAGGCAGCAGUGGGGAAUAUUGCACAAUGGGCGCAAGCCUGAUGCAGCCAUGCCGCGUGUAUGAAGAAGGCCUUCGGGUUGUAAAGUACUUUCAGCAGUGAGGAAGGCGGGUACGUUAAUAGCGUGCUCGUUUGACGUUAGCUGCAGAAGAAGCACCGGCUAACUCCGUGCCAGCAGCCGCGGUAAUACGGAGGGUGCGAGCGUUAAUCGGAAUUACUGGGCGUAAAGCGCAUGCAGGUGGUUUGUUAAGUCAGAUGUGAAAGCCCGGGGCUCAACCUCGGAAUAGCAUUUGAAACUGGCAGACUAGAGUACUGUAGAGGGGGGUAGAAUUUCAGGUGUAGCGGUGAAAUGCGUAGAGAUCUGAAGGAAUACCGGUGGCGAAGGCGGCCCCCUGGACAGAUACUGACACUCAGAUGCGAAAGCGUGGGGAGCAAACAGGAUUAGAUACCCUGGUAGUCCACGCCGUAAACGAUGUCUACUUGGAGGUUGUGGCCUUGAGCCGUGGCUUUCGGAGCUAACGCGUUAAGUAGACCGCCUGGGGAGUACGGUCGCAAGAUUAAAACUCAAAUGAAUUGACGGGGGCCCGCACAAGCGGUGGAGCAUGUGGUUUAAUUCGAUGCAACGCGAAGAACCUUACCUACUCUUGACAUCCAUAGAACUUUCCAGAGAUGGAUUGGUGCCUUCGGGAACUAUGAGACAGGUGCUGCAUGGCUGUCGUCAGCUCGUGUUGUGAAAUGUUGGGUUAAGUCCCGCAACGAGCGCAACCCUUAUCCUUGUUUGCCAGCGAGUAAUGUCGGGAACUCCAGGGAGACUGCCGGUGAUAAACCGGAGGAAGGUGGGGACGACGUCAAGUCAUCAUGGCCCUUACGAGUAGGGCUACACACGUGCUACAAUGGCGCAUACAGAGGGCGGCCAACUUGCGAAAGUGAGCGAAUCCCAAAAAGUGCGUCGUAGUCCGGAUUGGAGUCUGCAACUCGACUCCAUGAAGUCGGAAUCGCUAGUAAUCGUAGAUCAGAAUGCUACGGUGAAUACGUUCCCGGGCCUUGUACACACCGCCCGUCACACCAUGGGAGUGGGCUGCAAAAGAAGUGGGUAGUUUAACCUUCGGGGGGACGCUCACCACUUUGUGGUUCAUGACUGGGGUGAAGUCGUACA